rnacentral:sRNA from 1 species
AGCGGCGGGAUGCCCCUACGGGAAAACGUAUGUCGAGUAUUUUGUAUAAGCAAAAUACUCGAUGCGCAAGAAUGUACAAGGACGCACAUUCUUGCGCGGGU